rnacentral:rRNA from 1 species
GAGGGGCAUCGGGAAGAAAGCUUGCUUUCUUUGCCGGCGACCGGCGCACGGGUGAGUAACACGUAUCCAACCUGCCCUUUACUCGGGGAUAGCCUUUCGAAAGAAAGAUUAAUACCCGAUAGCAUAAUGAUUCCGCAUGGUUUCAUUAUUAAAGGAUUCCGGUAAAGGAUGGGGAUGCGUUCCAUUAGGUUGUUGGUGAGGUAACGGCUCACCAAGCCUUCGAUGGAUAGGGGUUCUGAGAGGAAGGUCCCCCACAUUGGAACUGAGACACGGUCCAAACUCCUACGGGAGGCAGCAGUGAGGAAUAUUGGUCAAUGGGCGCUAGCCUGAACCAGCCAAGUAGCGUGAAGGAUGAAGGCUCUAUGGGUCGUAAACUUCUUUUAUAUAAGAAUAAAGUGCAGUAUGUAUACUGUUUUGUAUGUAUUAUAUGAAUAAGGAUCGGCUAACUCCGUGCCAGCAGCCGCGGUAAUACGGAGGAUCCGAGCGUUAUCCGGAUUUAUUGGGUUUAAAGGGAGCGUAGGUGGACUGGUAAGUCAGUUGUGAAAGUUUGCGGCUCAACCGUAAAAUUGCAGUUGAUACUGUCAGUCUUGAGUACAGUAGAGGUGGGCGGAAUUCGUGGUGUAGCGGUGAAAUGCUUAGAUAUCACGAAGAACUCCGAUUGCGAAGGCAGCUCACUGGACUGCAACUG